GUAGGUGGCAAGCGUUGUCCGGAAUUAUUGGGCGUAAAGCGCGCGCAGGCGGUUUUUUAAGUCUGAUGUGAAAGCCCACGGCUCAACCGUGGAGGGUCAUUGGAAACUGGAGAACUUGAGUACAGAAGAGGAAAGCGGAAUUCCACGUGUAGCGGUGAAAUGCGUAGAGAUGUGGAGGAACACCAGUGGCGAAGGCGGCUUUCUGGUCUGUAACUGACGCUGAGGCGCGAAAGCGUGGGGAGCAAACAGGGAUUAGAUACCCUGGUAGUCCACGCCGUAAACGAUGAGUGCUAAGUGUUAGGGGGUUUCCGCCCCCUUAGUGCUGCAGCUAACGCAUUAAGCACUCCGCCUGGGGAGUACGGCCGCAAGGCUG
rnacentral:rRNA from 1 species